CCUACGGGAGGCAGCAGUGAGGAAUAUUGGUCAAUGGACGAGAGUCUGAACCAGCCAAGUAGCGUGAAGGAUGACUGCCCUAUGGGUUGUAAACUUCUUUUAUAUGGGAAUAAAAUGUUCCACGUGUGGGAUUUUGUAUGUACCUUAUGAAUAAGGAUCGGCUAACUCCGUGCCAGCAGCCGCGGUAAUACGGAGGAUCCGAGCGUUAUCCGGAUUUAUUGGGUUUAAAGGGAGCGUAGGUGGAUUGUUAAGUCAGUUGUGAAAGUUUGCGGCUCAACCGUAAAAUUGCAGUUGAAACUGGCAGUCGUGAGUACACUAGAGGUAUGCGGAAUGCGUGGUGUAGCGGUGAAAUGCUUAGAUAUCACGAAGAACUCCGAUUGCGAAGGCAGCAUACUGGACUGCAACUGACACUGAUGCUCGAAAGCGUGGGUAUCAAACAGGAUUAGAUACCCGAGUAGUC
rnacentral:rRNA from 1 species